rnacentral:sRNA from 1 species
UGAUACGGACCGGACCGUGGAGGAGCGC